rnacentral:lncRNA from 1 species
GCAAAUUGCAGAAUUUUUAUGGACAUCAGUUGUUAUUUCUUAAAUAUUUUGUCAAUAGGAGCUGUACAUCUAUCUUUUUAUACGAAUUUUGCGGUCGUAUAUUGGUAUCACGUCGGCGGCGUCAGCGUCGUCGGAAGAUGGAUGGUUUCCGGAUAAUAACUUUUGUAUAAGUAAACAGAAAUCAAUAAAAUUUUAACACAAUGUUUAUAACCACAAAAGGAAGCUUUGGAUUGAUUUUGGGGGUUAUGGUCCCUAAGGUUUAGAAAUUAGGGGCCCAAAGGGCCCAAAAAUAGCAUUUAUCUAGUGUCAGAACAAUAAGUUGUGUAUGAGUAUUUCAAUUGUUCUGAAAUUGUACCACAAUGUUUAAUACCAUUAAUAGAAGGUUGAGAUAUAUUUCAAGGGUUAUGGGGCAAACAGUCUAGGAAUAAAGGGCCAAAAACAAGCAUUUUUAUAGGACUGCAAAAAUUGAAAAUUUUUUGGUCGUAUAUUGGUAUCACGUUGGCGUCGUCGUCGUCUGAAGAAUUUGGUUUUCGCACUAUAACUUUAGAAUACGUGAAUAGAAAUCUAUGAAAUUUUAACACAAGGUUUAUGACCACAAAAGGAAGGUUGGGAUUGAUUUUGGAAGUUUUGGUCCCAACAGUUUAGGAAUUAGGGGCAAAAAAGGGCCCAAAAAUAGCAUUUAUCUAGUGUCAGAACAAUAAGUUGUGUAUGUGUAUUUCAAUUGUUCUGAAAUUGUACCACAAUGUUUAAUACCAUAAGUUGAAGGUUGAGAUAUAUUUUAAGGGUUAUAGGGCAAACAGUCUAGGAAUAAAGGGCCAAAAAGGGGCCAAAACAAGCAUUUUUAUUGGAUCGCAAUAAUUGAAAAUUUUUUGGUCGUAUAUUGGUAUCAUGUUGGCGUCGUCGUCUGCGUCGUUCGAAGACAUUUGGUUUUCGCACUAUAACUUUAGUAUAAGUGAAUAGAAAUCUAUGAAAUUUUAACACAAGGUUUAUGACCACAAAAGGAAGGUUGGGGUUGAUUUUGGGAGUUUUGGUCCCAACACUUUAGGAAUAAGGGGCCCAAAGAGUCCAAAAUUAAACUUUGUUUGAUUUCAUCAAAAAUUGAAUAAUUGGGGUUCUUUGAUAUGCCAUAUCUAACCGUGUAUGUAGAUUCUUAAUUUUUGGUCCCGUUUUCAAAUUGGUCUACAUUAAAGUUCAAAGGGUCCAAAAUUAAACUAAGUUUGAUUUUAACAAAAAUUGAAUUCUUGGGCUUCUUUGAUAUGCUGAAUCUAAACAUGUACUUAGAUUUUUUAUUAUGGGCCCAGUUUUCAAGUUGGACCAAAUCAGGAUCCCAAAUUAUUAAUUAAGUAUUGUGCAAUAGCAAGAAAUUUUCAAUUGCACAGCAUUCAGCAAUAACAAGAAAUCUUCAAUUGCACAGUAUUGCGCAAUAGCAAGAAAUAUAUAGUUGCACAAUAUUGUGCAAAAGCAAGAAACUUCAAUUGGAGUUAUCUUUCUUUGUCCAGAAUAGUAAUUGAAUCAACUUAAAUCAUUGUUUUAUACAAUAUACAAUGUAUAUUCACUUUUAAUACCAACUGAUAAAUUAAAACAAUUUUUACCAUUCUGUGAUAACAAGCACUUUUUUGACAUUUUAAUAUUAUAUGAUGUAUUUAAUUGAGUAGUUAUUGUUGCAAACUCCAUUAAUUGGGGGGGGGGUUCAAUUUUUCUCAUUUCAGAUUUCAUAAAUAAAAAGAAAAUUUCUUCAAACAUUUUUUUGAGAGGAUUAAUAUUCAACAGCAUAGUGAAUUGAUCAAACGGAAAAAAAAAAAUUUAAGUUUAUUAGACCACAUUCAUUCUGUGUCAGAAACCUAUGCUGUGUCAACUAUUUAAUCACAAUCCAAAUUUAGAGCUGAAUCCAGCUUGAAUGUUGUGUCCAUACUUGCCCGAACUGUUGAGUGUUCAAGCUCUGCGGUCGUAUAAAGCUGCGCCCUGCAGAGCAUCUGGUUGUAGUUUCAAGUCAAUAAAUUGGAGUUAUCUUUCUUUGUCCAGAAUGAUUGUUAAAUCACCUAAAACCAAUGCUUUUAUAUAAUCUUCUUUGAAAAUUGGAGUUAUCUUUCUUUGUCCAGAAUAGAAGUUGAAUCAACUUAAAUCAAUGCUAUAUACAAUAUACAAUGCAAUAUUCACUUUACUACCAACUGAUCAAUUAAAGCAAUCUUUACCAUUCAGUGAUUACAAGCACUUUGAUUACCAUUCUAGGGUUAUGUCCCUUUACAAGUGGAAAAAUUGAAGAAUUUUUUAUACGACCGCAAAAAUUGAAAAUUUUUUGGUCGUAUAUUGGUAUCAUGUUGGCGUCGUCUGCGUCGUCGUCGUCGUCCGAAUACUUUUAGUUUUUGCACUCUAACUUUAGCAAAAGUGAAUAGAAAUCUAUGAAAUUUUAACACAAGGUUUAUGACCACAAAAGGAAGGUUGGGAUUGAUUUUGGGAGUUUUGGUCCCAACAUUUUAGGAAUUAGGGGCCAAAAAGGGCCCAAAUAAGCAUUUUUCUUGGUUUUCGCACUAUAACUUUAGUUUAAGUAAAUAGAAAUCUAUGAAAUUUUGACACAAGGUUUAUGACCACAAAAGGAAGGUUGGGAUUGAUUUUGGGAGUUUUGUUCCCAACAGUUUAGGAAUUAGGGGCCAAAAAAGGGCCCAAAUAAGCAUUAUUCUUGGUUUUCGCACAAUAACUUUAGUAUAAGUAAAUAGAAAUCAAUGAAAUUUAAACACAAGGUUUAUGACCACAAAAGGAAGGUUGGGAUUGAUUUUGGGAGUUGGGGUCCCAACAGUUUAGGAAUUAGGGGCCAAAAAGGGCCCAAAUAAGCAUUUUCUUGGUUUUCGCAAUAUAACUUUAGUACAAGUAAAUGGAAAUCUAUGAAAUUUAAACACAAGGUUUAUGACCAUAAAAGGAAGGUUGGGUUUGAUUUUGGGAGUUUUGGUCCCAACAGUUUAGGAAUAAGGGGCCCAAAGGGUCCAAAAUUGAACUUUGUUUGAUUUCAUCAAAAAAUUGAAUAAUUGGGGUUCUUUGAUAUGCCGAAUCUAACUGUGUAUGUAGAUUCUUAAUUUUUGGUCCCGUUUUCAAAUUGGUCUACAUUAAGGUCCAAAGGGUCCAAAAUUAAACUUAGUUUGAUUUUAACAGAAAAUGAAUCCUUGGGGUUCUUUGAUAUGCUGAAUCUAAAAAUGUACUUAAGAUUUUUUAUUAUGGGCCCAGUUUUCAAGUUGGUCCAAAUCAGGGUCCAAAAUUAAACUUUGUUUGAUUUCAUCAAGAAUUGAAUAAUUGGGGUUCUUUGAUAUGCCAAAUCUAACUGUGUAUGUAGAUUCUUAAUUUUUGGUCCCGUUUUCAAAUUGGUCUACAUUAAAGUCCAAAGGGUCCAAAAUUAAACUAAGUUUGAUUUUAACAAAAAAUGAAUUCUUGGGCUUUUUUGAUAUGCUGAAUCUAAACAUGUACUUACAUUUUUGAUUAUGGGCCCAGUUUUCAAGUUGGUUCAAAUCAGGAUCCAAAAUUAUUAUAUUAAGUAUUGUGCAAUAGCAAGAAAUUUUCAAUUGCACAGUAUUCAGCAAUUGCAAGAAAUCUUCAAUUGCACAGUAUUGUGCAAUAGCAAGAAAUUUUCAAUUGCACAGUAUUGCGCAAUAGCAAGAAAU